ACACAUGCAAGUCGAGGGGCAUCAGUUUGGUUUGCUUGCAAACCAAAGCUGGCGACCGGCGCACGGGUGAGUAACACGUAUCCAACCUGCCUCAUACUCGGGGAUAGCCUUUCGAAAGAAAGAUUAAUAUCCGAUAGCAUAUAUUUCCCGCAUGGGUUUUAUAUUAAAGAAAUUCGGUAUGAGAUGGGGAUGCGUUCCAUUAGUUUGUUGGGGGGGUAACGGCCCACCAAGACUACGAUGGAUAGGGGUUCUGAGAGGAAGGUCCCCCACAUUGGAACUGAGACACGGUCCAAACUCCUACGGGAGGCAGCAGUGAGGAAUAUUGGUCAAUGGACGCGAGUCUGAACCAGCCAAGUAGCGUGAAGGAUGACUGCCCUAUGGGUUGUAAACUUCUUUUAUAUGGGAAUAAAGUUGUCCACGUGUGGAUUUUUGUAUGUACCAUAUGAAUAAGGAUCGGCUAACUCCGUGCCAGCAGCCGCGGUAAUACGGAGGAUCCGAGCGUUAUCCGGAUUUAUUGGGUUUAAAGGGAGCGUAGGCGGAUUGUUAAGUCAGUUGUGAAAGUUUGCGGCUCAACCGUAAAAUUGCAGUUGAUACUGGCAGUCUUGAGUGCAGUAGAGGUGGGCGGAAUUCGUGGUGUAGCGGUGAAAUGCUUAGAUAUCACGAAGAACUCCGAUUGCGAAGGCAGCUCACUGGAGUGUAACUGACGCUGAUGCUCGAAAGUGUGGGUAUCAAACAGGAUUAGAUACC
rnacentral:rRNA from 1 species